GUUGGGAUCACCGGGGCCUCCAUCGCCCGGCAUGUACACGCUACAUUAGGUGUAGGUAAGACGCACACUCACUGCUUCCCUGGUGCUUGUGUUCUCAAUGUUUCUGUGCAGGUGCCUGGGAUAAUGAAGACAAUUUGGGUUGUCGUGUUACACGCCAGGUGAACAACAUCAGAGUGCGGCAGUCAGAGAUCCUAAAGAAGGACUCCAUAUGUUUAGUCGAGACAGUACGCCGUACAUCUCUUACGACGAGGAUAUUUGUUUCAGGACCGCUUUCCCGAUACUGACAAGGACAUUUAAGCAAUUAUGUGAGCUGCAGUCUGGAUCCUGCCUCUGUCAGAUGACCUAACACAAAUGGAAAGAUGACAUCGACCCUUGCAAGGACUUCAGACGAUCCCAGCACUGGACUACAUACAGUGGUAAUCAUAUUUUCAGUAGUCCGUGUCAAAUUUUCUUUCAAGUGUUUGGGUGAGAUCUAGACCGAGGACUAAGGCGUAUACUAGGACAGAACUAAGUGUUGUGGCCCACAGGUGAUCCUAAAGCAACAAAGAGGAACCAUGGAGAGGAAGAAGUGGUGUCCAGAUGUUUAAAAGGCGGUGUUCGGGACAGGAAGCAAAGGCAACAAAGAGGAACCUCUAAGGUUUAAAGGCACUGCUUGCAGAGACGAGUGCAGAAAACAAGACAGAAGACCUGUCGAGAAUGUUUUAUGAUUAAAUGUUUUUGUUAUGUACAUGCACAUUAUUAUUUACAAUAUAUUUCUAAGAUACAUAAAUAUGUGACCUUGUAUAUGAAAUCCAGGCUACUGUCUUAACAUCUUAUGACAUCUAAAGUUUGAAUUUACUGAUUUAACAUUGAGUUCAGUCUUUGGCAUGACCUUACUCAGUCAGUAUUGAAUAUGUCAAGAUUAUAUUUUCAGAUAAUGUUUUCUGAAUUGUGUAGGAUGAUUUUAUGUAGAAAACAGUAAGUCACAAAGAAAUACUUUGCUGGGUUUUCACAGGCCGUGUCCCAUUUGUACAACAUAUGUGAAUUAUCUUGAGACUAAAACUUCUGAAAUCCAAACUGUUAUAUUUUAGCAUUUCAAAUGCAGCCACCCUUUGCCUAGAAUUUGAAAUAUAUACCCUUGGGUUUUUCAGUAAUUUUUUGACAUCUCACCCUGAGAUAUUUUUAAAGAAAUUUCUAUGUAUUAUGGGCUUGAAUUACUUGUUUAUUUUAUCAUUUUGUCCAAGUAAUUUGAAAAAAGUUUUAAAUUAAAUUUUAGUUCUCAAUUGAAAUAAAUAUAUAUGUUGAGACUAUAUUUUUGUCCACAAACGUAAUUGAAUCACAUACUUUAAGAGUAUAUUAUUUUGAAGGGUAUAAGAAAUAUUUUAGUUAAGUGUAAGUAAAACGUUUACACAGUAGUAUAGCAGUGUAUAAUAGUUACAGAAUAUAUAAUUUAUGUGUGACACAUCUAAAUAUUCUGUUACUGAUUUAUCCAAGUUGUUUAUGUGUUAUAUUUGUCAAAUGAAUAAAUUUGCAACGGUUAUUGACAGUGGUGU